UACGGGGGGAGCAAGCGUUGUUCGGAUUUACUGGGCGUAAAGGGCGCGUAGGCGGGAUGGCAAGUCGGUCGUGAAAUCCCUGGGCUCAACUCAGGGGGGUCGGCCGAUACUGCCGUUCUUGAGGGAUGCAGAGGAGACUGGAAUUCCCGGUGUAGCGGUGAAAUGUGUAGAGAUCGGGAGGAACACCGGUGGCGAAGGCGGGUCUCUGGGCAUUCCCUGACGCUGAGGCGCGAAAGCGUGGGGAGCAAACGGG
rnacentral:rRNA from 1 species